rnacentral:rRNA from 1 species
AAAAUCCGUUUAGAUAAUGCUAGGAUGUGAUGGGGAAGCCCUUCGGGGCGAAGUAGCUGAUUUCACACUGUCAAGAAAAGCUUCUAUCGAGUUUAAAGGCGCCCGUACCGUAAACCGACACAGGUGGGUGAGGAGAGUAUCCUAAGGCCAGCGAGAGAACUAUUGUUAAGGAACUCGGCAAAAUGACCCCGUAACUUAGGGAGAAGGGGUGCCUGUCUAUGACAGGCCGCAGAGAAUAGGCCCAAGCGACUGUUUACCAAAAACACAGGUUUCUGCUAAGUCGCAAGACGAUGUAUAGGAGCUGACGCCUGCCCGGUGCUGGAAGGUUAAGGGGAUCUGUUAGAGCAAUCGAAGCAGUGAACUUAAGCCCCAGUAAACGGCGGCCGUAACUAUAACGGUCCUAAGGUAGCGAAAUUCCUUGUCGGGUAAGUUCCGACCCGCACGAAAGGCGUAACGAUUUGGGCACUGUCUCAACAAUAGACUCGGUGAAAUUGUAAUCCCGGUGAAGAUGCCGGGUACCUGCGACAGGACGGAAAGACCCCAUGGAGCUUUACUGUAGCUUGACGUUGGGUCUUGGUACUACAUGUACAGGAUAGGUGGGAGACUAUGAAGCAUGGACGCCAGUCUGUGUGGAGUCAUCCUUGGGAUACCACCCUUGUAGUACUGGGAUCCUAACCAUAGGCCUUGAAUCAGGUCUUGGAACACCGUCAGGUGGGCAGUUUGACUGGGGCGGUCGCCUCCUAAAAAGUAACGGAGGCGCUCAAAGGUUUCCUCAGCACGGUCGGAAAUCGUGCGAAGAGUGUAAAGGCAAAAGGAAGCUUGAUUGCAAGACAUACAGGUCGAGCAAGGACGAAAGUCGGACUUAGUGAUCCGGUGGUACCGCAUGGAAGGGCCAUCGCUCAACGGAUAAAAGCUACCCUGGGGAUAACAGGCUUAUCUCCCCCAAGAGUCCACAUCGACGGGGAGGUUUGGCACCUCGAUGUCGGCUCAUCACAUCCUGGGGCUGUAGUAGGUCCCAAGGGUUGGGCUGUUCGCCCAUUAAAGUGGUACGCGAGCUGGGUUCAGAACGUCGUGAGACAGUUCGGUCCCUAUCCGUCGCAGGCGUAGGAAAUUUGAGAAGACCUGUCCUUAGUACGAGAGGACCGGGAUGGACGUACCUCUGGUGUACCAGUUGUUCUGCCAAGGGCAUGGCUGGGUAUCUAUGUACGGAAUGGAUAAGCGCUGAAAGCAUCUAAGCGCGAAGCCAACUUCAAGAUAAGAUUUCCACCGUAAGGGUAAGACCCCAGGAAGACUACCUGGUUGAUAGGUCGAAGGUGUAAGUGCAGUAAUGUAUUUAGCUUAUCGAUACUAAUAGGUCGAGGACUUGAUC